UAGGGAAUCUUCGGCAAUGGACGAAAGUCUGACCGAGCAACGCCGCGUGAGUGAAGAAGGUUUUCGGAUCGUAAAACUCUGUUGUUAGAGAAGAACAAGGACGUUAGUAACUGAACGUCCCCUGACGGUAUCUAACCAGAAAGCCACGGCUAACUACGUGCUAGCAGCCGCGGUAAUACGUAGGUGGCAAGCGUUGUCCGGAUUUAUUGGGCGUAAAGCGAGCGCAGGCGGUUUCUUAAGUCUGAUGUGAAAGCCCCCGGCUCAACCGGGGAGGGUCAUUGGAAACUGGGAGACUUGAGUGCAGAAGAGGAGAGUGGAAUUCCAUGUGUAGCGGUGAAAUGCGUAGAUAUAUGGAGGAAAACCAGUGGCGAAGGCGGCUCUCUGGUCUGUAAAUGACGCUGAGGCUCGAAAGCGUGGGGAGCAAACAGG
rnacentral:rRNA from 1 species